rnacentral:rRNA from 1 species
GACGUAGGGGACGAGCGUUGUCCGGAUUCAUUGGGCGUAAAGCGCGCGUAGGCGGCCACGCAAGUCGGGUGUGAAAUCCCGGAGCUCAACUCCGGAACUGCACUCGAAAACUGCGCGGCUUGAGGUAGGUAGGGGAGAUCGGAAUUCCUGGUGUAGCGGUGGAAUGCGCAGAUAUCAGGAGGAACACCGGUGGCGAAGGCGGAUCUCUGGGCCUUACCUGACGCUGAGACGCGAAAGCUAGGGGAGCGAACAGG